rnacentral:rRNA from 1 species
AUACGAAGGGGGCUAGCGUUGUUCGGAAUUACUGGGCGUAGAGCGCGCGUAGGCGGAUUGGUCAGUUAGGGGUGAAAUCCCAGGGCUUAACCCUGGAACUGCCUCUAAUACUGCCAGUCUUGAGUUCGGGAGAGGUGAGUGGAAUUCCUAGUGUAGAGGUGAAAUUCGUAGAUAUUAGGAAGAACACCAGUGGCGAAGGCGGCUCACUGGCCCGAUACUGACGCUCAGGCGCGAAAGCGUGGGGAGCAAACAGGAUUAGAUACCCUAGUAGUCC